rnacentral:lncRNA from 1 species
CGACAUCUUGGGAUAGAGGGAUUAUGUAUGUUGAAAUAAGUAAAUUGAAUCACAGGUUCGUACAUAAACAUCUUGGCAAAACAUUUUCGUAUAAAGGUUUCUUUUCUGAUACAUAUCACUCCCUCUGUUCCAAAUUACUAUUCGUUUUAACUUUUCUAAAUACAUAAUCUUUGCUAUGGAUCUAGAAAAUGAAUAUAGUAAUUUGGAAUGGAGGGAGUAAUAUAAUAUAAUAUAAGCGUAAAUGUUCAGAGUACCGACCACUGUUGGCAUUGUUGAAUCGUCGUGGGUUAAUUAGGUGAUGCGGAGGAAAAUUGGUGGCCGCUCUUGCAAUUAAACGCCCGGGGUACCACUCGUCCCCCACAGCAGCUGCAUGCACGUCCGAUCAAAAAACUUGAUGGGUUCUUGCAGGCCGGUUGGGAAGCCCACUAUCUCUAAUAAUGCUAUUUUUGGUUUUUUUUUUGAAUAACAGCACUAUGUUUCUUUCAUGCGUGUCAGCCCAUUUUGCCAUGUUGCGCAAUAGGUGUGCUUUACAUGAAGGUAGCUAGUAUCACUUCUAGCCUUUGGACAACCGAAGUGUGGCAACUUAGAUAUAAUGUAUAAGUUCGUUUUCAAUUAUGUAAAGGUUCAGAAAAAACGUUGGAUAUUUACAAAUAUUUUUCUAAAAAACAUCUAAUAUUAGCUUUUGCAAUUAUCAUCCCUACUAGAGAAGUGACUUUCGAUCCCC